GCGUUAAAGGGGGUGAAAAGCCCCCUCGCCGAAAGCGCAAGGUUUCCUACGCAACGUUCAUCGGCGUAGGGUGAGUCGGCCCCUAAGGUGAGGCAGAGAUGCGUAGCUGAUGGGAAACAGGUCAAUAUUCCUGUACCGAUGUGUAGUGCGAUGUGGGGACGGAGAAGGUUAGCUCAGCCAACUGUUGGAUAUGUUGGUUCAAGCCUGUAGUCAUGCCCGGUAGGCAAAUCCGCCGGGCUUAGAUGAGGAGUGAUAACGAGGCUGCUUGCAGCCGAAGUGAGUGAUACCCUGCUUCCAGGAAAAGCCACUAAGCUUCAGCUACACACGACCGUACCGCAAACCGACACUGGUGCGCGAGAUGAGUAUUCUAAGGCGCUUGAGAGAACUCGGGAGAAGGAACUCGGCAAAUUGACACCGUAACUUCGGAAGAAGGUGUGCCCUAGUAGUGUGAAGCGAACAGCGGAGCAUGAACGGGUCGCAGAGAAUCGGUGGCUGCGACUGUUUAUUAAAAACACAGCACUCUGCAAACACGAAAGUGGACGUAUAGGGUGUGACGCCUGCCCGGUGCUGGAAGAUUAAAUGAUGGGGUGCAAGCUCUUGAUUGAAGUCCCAGUAAACGGCGGCCGUAACUAUAACGGUCCUAAGGUAGCGAAAUUCCUUGUCGGGUAAGUUCCGACCUGCACGAAUGGCGUAACGAUGGCCACACUGUCUCCUCCUGAGACUCAGCGAAGUUGAAAUGUUUGUGAUGAUGCAAUCUACCCGCGGCUAGACGGAAAGACCCCAUGAACCUUUACUGUAGCUUUACAUUGGACUUUGAACAGAUCUGUGUAGGAUAGGUGGGAGGCUUUGAAGCGGUGCCGCUAGGUGUCGUGGAGCCAACGUUGAAAUACCACCCUGGUGUGUUUGAGGUUCUAACCUAGGUCCAUUAUCUGGAUCGGGGACAGUGCAUGGUAGGCAGUUUGACUGGGGCGGUCUCCUCCCAAAGUGUAACGGAGGAGUUCGAAGGUACGCUAGGUACGGUCGGACAUCGUGCUAAUAGUGCAAUGGCAUAAGCGUGCUUAACUGCGAGACUGACAAGUCGAGCAGGUGCGAAAGCAGGUCAUAGUGAUCCGGUGGUUCUGUAUGGAAGGGCCAUCGCUCAACGGAUAAAAGGUACUCUGGGGAUAACAGGCUGAUACCGCCCAAGAGUUCAUAUCGACGGCGGUGUUUGGCACCUCGAUGUCGGCUCAUCUCAUCCUGGGGCUGUAGCCGGUCCCAAGGGUAUGGCUGUUCGCCAUUUAAAGAGGUACGUGAGCUGGGUUUAAAACGUCGUGAGACAGUUUGGUCCCUAUCUGCCGUGGGCGCUGGAAAUU
rnacentral:rRNA from 1 species